rnacentral:rRNA from 1 species
CCUACGGGAGGCAGCAGUGGGGAAUAUUGCACAAUGGGGGAAACCCUGAUGCAGCGACGCCGCGUGGGUGAAGAAGCGCCUCGGCGCGUAAAGCCCUGUCAGCAGGGAAGAAAAUGACGGUACCUGAAGAAGAAGCCCCGGCUAACUACGUGCCAGCAGCCGCGGUAAUACGUAGGGGGCAAGCGUUAUCCGGAUUUACUGGGGGUAAAGGGGGCGCAGACGGCGAUGCAAGCCAGGAGUGAAAGCCCGGGGCCCAACCCCGGGACUGCUCUUGGAACUGGGUGGCUAGAGUGCAGGAGGGGCAGGCGGAAUGCAUGGUGUAGCGGUGAAAUGCGUAGAUAUCAGGAGGAACACCGGUGGCGAAGGCGGCCUGCUGGACUGCAACUGACGUUGAGGCCCGAAAGCGUGGGGAGCAAACAGGAUUAGAUACCCCAGUAGUC